UGUGGGAGCGGGCUUGCUCGCGAAAGCGGUGGGUCAGUUAGCUCAUCUGUCACUGAUGCGCCGCCUUCGCGAGCAAGCCCGCUCCCACA
rnacentral:misc_RNA from 1 species